rnacentral:lncRNA from 1 species
UAUGAUUUUUUUUUGUCAUUGAAAAGCAAACAUUUGAAUACAAUAAUGUGAUAACUCUGGAAAUAAGAUUCUCCUUCUUCCCAAGAAAAGAGAAAAAGAAAAAAUGAAGCAGGGAGCGAAAGGUGCUGGCUUUUUAAAUCCCGCAAAGUCACUUGAGCUGGAGGAGUUUGCAACAACUGAGGGUAGGUGCAACAAUAAUGGCCACUCACCCCUUUGUAUCUCUCUGAUCUUUUGUGUUCAGAAGUGACAUUCAGGGCCAGGCGUGGUG